AAGGGCUUAGCUUAAUUAAAGUAGUUGAUUUGCGUUCAAUUGAUGUGGGGUGCAGACCUGCAGUCCUUA
rnacentral:tRNA from 2 species